rnacentral:rRNA from 1 species
UGAGGAAUAUUGCGCAAUGGGGGAAACCCUGACGCAGCGACGCCGCGUGAGUGAGGAAGGCCUUCGGGUCGUAAAGCUCUGUCAAGAGGGAAGAAGUGCAUGGCAGUUAAUACCUGUCAUGUUUGACGGUACCUCUAAAGGAAGCACCGGCUAACUCCGUGCCAGCAGCCGCGGUAAUACGGAGGGUGCAAGCGUUGUUCGGAAUUACUGGGCGUAAAGGGCGCGCAGGCGGCCUGCCAAGUCAGAUGUGAAAUGCCAUGGCUUAACCAUGGACGUGCAUUUGAAACUGGUGGGCUUGAGUACCAGAGGGGAAGGUGGAAUUCCCGGUGUAGAGGUGAAAUUCGUAGAUAUCGGGAGGAAUACCGGUGGCGAAGGCGACUUUCUGGCUGGAUACUGACGCUGAGGCGCGAAAGCGUGGGGAGCAAACAGG